AUACGGAGGAUGCGAGCGUUAUCCGGAUUUAUUGGGUUUAAAGGGUGCGUAGGCGGGCUGUUAAGCGUGAGGUGAAAGCUCGGGGCUCAACCCCGGAACUGCCUCGCGAACUGGCGGUCUUGGAUGUCCGUGCCGUGGGAGGAAUGGGUGGUGUAGCGGUGAAAUGCAUAGAGAUCACACAGAACACCGAUUGCGGAGGCAUCUCACGAACGGAUGAUUGACGCUGAGGCACGAAAGCGUGGGGAUCAAACAGGAUUAGAUACCCUGGUAGUCCACGCAGUAAACGAUGAUAACUAACCGCUGGUGCGCAUGUAUCAGUGGCCAAGCGAAAGCGAUAAGUUAUCCACCUGGGGAGUACGACCGCAAGGUUGAAACUCAAAUGAAUUGGCGGGG
rnacentral:rRNA from 1 species